rnacentral:piRNA from 1 species
UCACGCUGGUGAUCACUGUGCUCUCUGCC